GAACAACGGAAGACGGAAACAAUGGAAACAACCGAAACAACCGAAACAACCAUAACAACCUCCACAGAGACAGAAACAUAAGGCAGAUAAUUAGGUGACAGGUCAAGAACAACAACGGAAACACUAACGGAAACACUAACGGAAACACUAACGGAAACAUCCGCCAGAGAGACAGAAACAUACGGCAGAAAAUUAGGUGACAGGUCAAGAACAACAACGGAAACAACCGAAAAAACCGAAACAACCGAAACAACCGAAACAACCUCCACAGAGACAGAAACAUAAGGCAGAAAAUUAGGUGACAGGACAAGCACAACAACGGAAACAACCGAAACAACCUCCACAGAGACAGAAACAUAAGGCAGAAAAUUAGGUGACAGGUCAAGAACAACAACGGAAAGAACGGAAACAACGGAAAAACGGAAACAAAACAACCUCCACAGAGACAAAAACAUACGGCAGAAAAUUAGGUGACAGGUCAAGAAGAACAACGGAAAUAAUGGAAACAACGGAAACUACGUAAACAACCUCCACAGAGACAAAAACAUAAGGCAGAAAAUUAGGUGACAGGUCAAGAACCACAACGGAAAAAACGGAAACAACGGAAACAACCUCCACAGAUAAAGAAACAUAAGGCAGAAAAUUAGGUGACAGGUCAAGAACAACAACGGAAACAACCGAAACAGCGGAAACAACCUCCACAGAGACAGAAAAACAAGGCAGAAAAUUAGGUGACAGGUCAAGAACAACAACGGAAACAACGGAAACAGCGGAAACAACCUCCACAGAGACAGAAACAUAAGGCAGAAAAUUAGGUGACAGGUCAAGAACAACAACAGAAACAACGGAAACAACGGAAACAACGGAAACAACGGAAACAACGGAAACAACCUCCACAGAGACAGAAACAUAAGGCAGAAAAUUAGGUGAGAGGUCAAUAACAACAACGGACACAACGGAAACAACGGAAACAACCUCCACAGAGACAGAAACAUAAGGCAGAAAAUUAGGUGACAGGUCAAGAACAACAACGGAAACAACGGAAACAACGGAAACAACGGAAACAACGGAAACAACGGAAACAACACAACCUCCACAGAGACAGAAACAUAAGGCAGAAAAUUAGGUGACAGGUCAAGAAGAACAACGGAAGACGGAAACAACGGAAACAACCGAAACAACCGAAACAACCAUAACAACCUCCACAGAGACAGAAACAUAAGGCAGAUAAUUAGGUGACAGGUCAAGAACAACAACGGAAACACUAACGGAAACACUAACGGAAACACUAACGGAAACAUCCGCCAGAGAGACAGAAACAUACGGCAGAAAAUUAG
ensembl:lncRNA